UCCUGGCUCAGGAUGAACGCUAGCGGGAGGCCUAACACAUGCAAGCCGAGCGGUAGAGAUUCUUCGGAAUCUUGAGAGCGGCGUACGGGUGCGGAACACGUGUGCAACCUACCUUUAUCUGGAGGAUAGCCUUUCGAAAGGAAGAUUAAUACUCCAUAAUAUAUUGAUUGGCAUCAAUUGAUAUUGAAAGCUCCGGCGGAUAGAGAUGGGCACGCGCAAGAUUAGUUAGUUGGUGAGGUAACGGCUCACCAAGACGAUGAUCUUUAGGGGCCUGAGAGGGUGACUCCCCCACACUGGUACUGAGACACGGACCAGACUCCUACGGGAGGCAGCAGUGAGGAAUAUUGGUCAAUGGGUGCAAGCCUGAACCAGCCAUCCCGCGUGAAGGACGACUGCCCUAUGGGUUGUAAACUUCUUUUGUAUAGGGAUAAACCUACCCUCGUGAGGGUAGCUGAAGGUACUAUACGAAUAAGCACCGGCUAACUCCGUG
rnacentral:rRNA from 1 species